rnacentral:rRNA from 1 species
CCUACGGGUGGCAGCAGUGAGGAAUAUUGGUCAAUGGGCGGGAGCCUGAACCAGCCAAGUCGCGUGAGGGAAGACGGUCCUAUGGAUUGUAAACCUCUUUAGGCGGGGAGCAAUGCCGGGCACGCGUGCCCGGAGGGAGAGUACCCGCAGAAUAAGCAUCGGCUAACUCCGUGCCAGCAGCCGCGGUAAUACGGAGGAUGCGAGCGUUAUCCGGAUUUAUUGGGUUUAAAGGGUGCGUAGGCGGACAGUCAAGUCAGCGGUAAAAAUGCGGUGCUCAACGCCGUACAGCCGUUGAAACUGGCAGUCUUGAGUGGGCGAGAAGUAUGCGGAAUGCGUGGUGUAGCGGUGAAAUGCAUAGAUAUCUGGAGGAACAUCAGUGGCGAAGGCGACUAUCUGGCACAUAACUGACGCUGAGGAGCGAAAGCGUGGGUAGCAAACAGGAUUAGAUACCCGAGUAGUC